rnacentral:rRNA from 1 species
UCCGUAGGUGGCCAUAUUAGUCUUUUGUUAAAGACCCGUGCUCAACAUGGGGAAGGCAAAAGAAACGGUAUGGCUUGAGUCUGUGAGGGGUGUGCGGAACUCAUGGUGUAGGGGUGAAAUCCGUUGAUAUCAUGGGGAACACCAAAAGCGAAGGCAACACACUGGCACAGUACUGACACUAAGGGACGAAACCCUGGGUAGCGAAUG